rnacentral:lncRNA from 1 species
AAAAAAUAAGGAGAGAAGUGGAAUGAGUUCUCUAGAUUGAGCGCUCUUGGCAGGCGAAGUGUCUGCGUGUGUACUGCUCUUUUAGGGAGGCUGCACAUGCACAGCUGAGCGAGCUGGCUUUCUCUCUAGAAUGUGAAACAGUGCGCUCCAUUCACAUGCAGCAGACUCAUGUUAUAGAAAUAAGAUUCUAAUGAGAUGAAAAUAAUGUUCUUGGCACCUACCUGAGUCACAAAACUGCUUUCGCUUACUGCUGCGGAAAGCUGGCUGCUGUCAUUUAGGAAAAAUAUCCAGAUGGCACACCCACCUGGAAGUGGUCUCACAAAGACACAAAGAAAGUAUUAAAAUAUGUGAAGACUCAGUUUGCUCAGCUGUCAGUAAAUUUUAAAUCCAUUUUGUUCCUUUGUACCAAAGAACUCUAAGCCUGUCAAUAGAACUAAGUAUGAAAUGUUGGAUAUAAUAUCAUAUCCAAAGGAAAAAUAAGCAAAAUGAAACUGAUGUCCUCAUAAAAAUGGUAGCCUGAAAGGAGGGGAAAAAGACAUUUUGUGGGGGAGAAAUUAAGGGAAACAGACCAGCAGUCCUUUUAUUUAGUUAGUUUGGUUUGCUUACCAUUAUCAGUCGCUGCCUAUGCUGAAUGGUGCAGCAUUUUGUUGCACUCUGAAGCAGAGUGAACAAGAGAGAGGACCCAGGUAUGGGUUCAUGUCCUCAGAGGAAGGUUCAUGCACCAUUAUCUUGAGUUCCUGCUCACAUGGGUCAGGACAAAGAACUCGGUGUGCCCCACAAUAGUACAGCAAGCUACAGGAGUGGGUGUCUAACUAACCAGGCACUUCCCUGCCAGGAAUAAUUAUAGCAUUAUGCAAUUCCCAGGCUUCAUAAUCUAAGGAAUUUGAAUUAUCCCACUGUAGAAAGUUUUGGCAGGCUGAAAGCAGGUCUGGGUACUAAUGAGGUGAGUAUCUGGCUGUUCACAGGGAAGGAAUUCAUUAUAAACCUGAAUGAGGCUGAACCACGAGGCUCAGAGAGCUUCCACACUGCAAACAUUAACCACUCCUCUGGCUGCCACACCUCUCCUUUUAGCUGCUGCUAAAACCAACAGUGCAAUUAAUUUGCACUGGAGCAGAAAACCAUACUUGUAUCCAGAAACUACUGCCCUCUGGUGAGCCAAAGUAUACUUCAUUACCUGGCCUGUAACAUGCCUCAUAAACCUAAUUGUUAGUAAACAUUCAUGCUUUGAAGAGAUAGUUUUCCAUCUUAGAUUACUGACUAAAUUUGGCUUUUAUAUAAGAAACCAAUAUUCAUGAAAUCCAUAUUUUAGCUUAGUUAUGGUUGAUAGCCUGUAACCUAAAUAACUGUCGAUUAAAUAAACAAUUAUCUGUAUCCAUCAAAUGAUAAACUCAUUCCCAAAUGCCCUCCUUACCUGUUCUAGGAAAUGUCUAUUUAACAUUCCUUUCUUCCAAGCAUUUCCCAAGAAGGUGCAUUACAGUUACAAAGUGAAUUUCAUUCAUUUAUUCAGCUUUGCGUGGAUAUUAAUUCUUUCCCAUAGCCCUUGCUUUUCCACCUGGGAUCUGGGUGAUUCUGGCUUUGUCAAUCAGCACAUUUCCUCUCUGUGGCUGCAGAAAUGGGUUAGGCACACGACCUGACUAUAUCUAAGAAGAGUGAGACUCAGAGCCUUUCUGGGAAUGGAGGGACGCUCUCCUUUUUGAUAAACACUGGGAAGAAACAUGGGGCCCCCAGAGCUUAAGCAGUCAUUUUGGGACCAGCUUUUAAAAGAGCUGACGUGUUUGAGAGUCUCACAGAGUGAUGAUAACAAGCUAAAUCUUUGGUGACAUCACCAAACUGCUAGACAAAGCCCUUCCCACAGCCCCCCCCCCCAUGGACUUUUCACUGCACAUAUCUGAUGAGUUGUUUAAGCAAGCUUGGGUCAGGUGUUCUGUUACUAGUGGUCAAAAUACUCUUAAGUGAUGCUGUAUAAGCACUGACCAUGCCGUAUAAACACAAAGGAAGAAGGUCCCUGGAAUGUAAAUUUACAAUGGAAAAUAACAUGCCAUUUUCAUGCUUUCUCAACUACUUAAUGACUUUACUCCAAAAGCAUUCCCCUUCCAGCAUUCUAAGUUUCUUCUUUAUUAUCUGGUCAGUAUGUCAGAAUACAGACAUACUGUAUUAUUUCCUAUCUUAAAGAAGCAGUCUUCCUUAUCUAGAAAUAAUCUUCCUCCCAUCUUUAUAUAAAAUACAUGUAUGAAGAUUUGAAUUUGAUGUCAAUAUAUCUUAUAUACAAUCAGAGAUAAUAAUAAACUGUGGUAUAUAAGUGUAUUAAGAAUUAUAAUGCAAAAAAGAGAGUGCAUGCAUAAUGGCAUAAUUUGGCGUGAACACACUUUAUAUACAGUUAUGAAAAAUUGUGCUGUAAAUGGGUAAUAAUGAG